UUCUCUGUAACCUGUGCUCUCAACCCCUUCAGCCUCCACCUACAUCAGAGGGUUUCAGCUGUACUGAAGCUUUCUUCACCACAUUUCAUGCAUCCGUCCCUCUCUAGUUUGUUCUUGUCACGUCACAUGCACAGGCGCGGUCACAUUUUUCAGCACAGUAUCCUAAAUGUCACAUCAGACUCUUACCUCUUAACAGUCAUUGUGUUCUGGCUCAACAAACCUUAUCUCCUGCCCACAAACUUGGAAACCAGCAGCGCUGCGAGCGGGCUUCUGGCUUCCUGUCAUUGCAGAUAACGCAGGCAGUUUUAUAGUCAAACCAGAUAAAGGCAAUACAGACUGUUAACUCAACAUAUAUCCUGAAUGUAAAUUCAAUGUAUCUCCUUCUGAUGAAAACUUCACAGCUGCUUUGAAAGUAGAAGGAGUCUGACUGCAAAAUUCUGCCUGUAACUGUGACACCGAGCUGUGGGAUUUUGCUACUCACCAGGGAAUUUUCUAAAGAGGCAUGGGUGCAUCUGACAACCCCAUCACAUAUGAAACAUCCACUGUGACUGUGCUGAUUCUGUUUUUCUGCCUAUUAGGCCUGUUUGCAUUGCUGUUCUUCUUGUAUAAGAAAUUGAACAAAGAGACUGAUGGAGAAUAUACUAUCCGGCGCAUGUAUUAUAAGGAGGGAGGGGUCAGGGACCGGGCGAGAGGUGCAGCAUUGGCUCUGGGGACACGUCUUGGAGUCCAUCUGUGGCCUGAUACAAAUGAGGAAGGAGAGGAAAUGCAAGAAGUCCAAGAUGAGGAGGGACAGUUGGGGGAGGGUGGUAGCCAGAGUGACAGUGAGGGGGAUGACCAGGAGGAGGAUGAUUAUAACACAGAGCAUUGUUGUUUGACAAAGGGAAAAGCAGAUAACAGCUCAGAUGCUAACUCAAGUUUGGAGGGAUCAGAGGAAGCUGAUGAGCCAGAGGCAAAAGGAGAGGCAGAGGAGAAAAGCCAGGUAAUGGUGGAGAAAAUGGGAGAAGGGAAAGGUAAAGGGGAGGUAAGUGGAGGGGCUGAAUUGUUGAUAGACCUAAAUAAGUUCUCUGGAAGUGCCAUCUGGUCUGAAGAAGGAGAUAAAGAUGGGGAUGUGACUGCACUGUGAGAACAGAAUCAGAACACAUGAAAUGCAAAGAAGGCAUAGGAAAUCUUGUUUUAAAGCCCUCUGUCAGGAAUAUAAUUCUGGUGGAUAAAUACUGAAUCCUUUAUGUAUGUCUGUUAUGUAAAAGUAGUCAAAUAUAGUGUGUAAGAACACUGGAAUCCACCUGUAAAUCACCCACUAUGUGUAAGUUUUUUAAUUACAGUGUAAACUACUCAGGUUGUCCCAAAUGUCAGCUAUGGUCUUAAUUCCUGUUGAGGUAUCAGGAUAAAAUGGUCACUGAUGGAUGAAGCUGUACUAUACUGUAUUUUGAAUGUUUGUGGAAGAGUCCACCUUUUAUAAUGUAACUUGGCCAUUGAGUUAAGAAAUCUUUGUGUUAUUGUAUCUGUCUAUCAUAUGCACUGAAUUGUGGAUUGUAGUAUUUUUUCAGUGCUUUAAAUGCUUUUUCUUUUUUACAUAAAAUUAAAUAA